rnacentral:rRNA from 1 species
UACAGAGGUCUCAAGCGUUGUUCGGAUUCAUUGGGCGUAAAGGGUGCGUAGGUGGCGCGCUAAGUCAGGUGUGAAAUUUCGGAGCUUAACUCCGAAACUGCAUUUGAUACUGGCGUGCUUGAGGACUGGAGAGGAGACUGGAAUUUACGGUGUAGCGGUGAAAUGCGUAGAUAUCGUAAGGAAGACCAGUGGCGAAGGCGGGUCUCUGGACAGUUCCUGACGCUGAGGCACGAAGGUCAGGGGAGCAAACGGG